rnacentral:rRNA from 1 species
AACGAACGCUGGCGGCGUGCUUAACACAUGCAAGUCGAGCGGUAAGGCCCUUUCGGGGGUACACGAGCGGCGAACGGGUGAGUAACACGUGGGUGACCUGCCCUCAGCUCUGGGAUAAGCCUGGGAAACCGGGUCUAAUACUGGAUAUGACUCCAUGACGCAUGUUGUGGGGUGGAAAGCCUUGUGCGGCUGAGGAUGGGCCCGCGGCCUAUCAGCUUGUUGGUGGGGUGANGGCCUACCAAGGCGACGACGGGUAGCCGGCCUGAGAGGGCGACCGGCCACACUGGGACUGAGACACGGCCCAGACUCCGUACGGGAGGCAGCAGGUGGGGAAUCUUGCGCAAGUGGGCGAAAGUCUGACGCAGCGACGCCGCGUGAGGGAU